GUUGGAAAAGUUUCAACAAGUUUGCGCUGACGAAAGAAAAAUCUCAAAUCAAAUCCGAAGAACAAAAUCCAGGCUACACUGAUUAAAACGUCGUUCGCAUCAAAUUAAAAAUUCCGUAGUGGAAGAUAUUAUGUGCAGAGACUCCAGCAGAAAUCAACCUUCUUGCGGCCGGCUUAAUUUUCCAGAUCAAAGAAAUGAAAAAUCUAACUGUCCUCAAGAUCGCCAG